AUGCAAGUCGAACGAGAAAGUGGAGCAAUCCAUGAGUAAAGUGGCGACCGGGUGAGUAACACGUGACUAACCUACCUCCGAGUGGGGAAUAACUCCGGGAAACCGGGGCUAAUACCGCAUAACAUCGCAAGAUCAAAGCAGCAAUGCGCUUGGAGAGGGGGUCGCGGCUGAUUAGCUAGUUGGCGGGGUAACGGCCCACCAAGGCGAAGAUCGGUAUCCGGCCUGAGAGGGCGCACGGACACACUGGAACUGAAACACGGUCCAGACUCCCACGGGAGGCAGCAGUGGGGAAUUUUGCGCAAUGGGGGAAACCCUGACGCAGCAACGCCGCGUGGAGGAUGAAGCCCUUUGGGGCGUAAACUCCCUUCGACUCGGACGAUAAUGACGGUACGAGUGGAAGAAGCACCGGCUAACUCUGUGCCAGCAGCCGCGGUAAUACAGAGGGUGCGAGCGUUGUUCGGAAUUAUUGGGCGUAAAGGGCGCGUANGCGGUGCGGUAAGUCACCUGUGAAAUCUCCUGGCUUAACUGGGAGUCUGCAGGCGAAACUACCGUGCUGGAGUGUGGGAGAGGUGCGUGGAAUUCCCGGUGUACCGGUGAAAUGCGUAUAUAUCGGGAGG
rnacentral:rRNA from 1 species